rnacentral:rRNA from 4 species
AACAAGGUUUCCGUAGGUGAACCUGCGGAAGGAUCAU